rnacentral:rRNA from 1 species
GAUGAACGCUGGCGGCGUGCCUAAUACAUGCAAGUCGAGCGAACGGACGAGAAGCUUGCUUCUCUGAUGUUAGCGGCGGGCGGGUGAGUAACACGUGGAUAACCUACCUAUAAGACUGGGAUAACUUCGGGAAACCGGAGCUAAUACCGGAUAAUAUUUUGAACCGCAUGGUUCAAAAGUGAAAGACGGUCUUGCUGUCACUUAUAGAUGGAUCCGCGCUGCAUUAGCUAGUUGGUAAGGUAACGGCUUACCAAGGCAACGAUGCAUAGCCGACCUGAGAGGGUGAUCGGCCACACUGGAACUGAGACACGGUCCAGACGCCUACGGGAGGCAGCAGUAGGGAAUCUUCCGCAAUGGGCGAAAGCCUGACGGAGCAACGCCGCGUGAGUGAUGAAGGUCUUCGGAUCGUAAAACUCUGUUAUUAGGGAAGAACAUAUGUGUAAGUAACUGUGCACAUCUUGACGGUACCUAAUCAGAAAGCCACGGCUAACUACGU